GCCGCCGGCCAAGGGGCCCAAGCCGGAGAAGCCCCCGACCAAGGGCCACGGCCACAAGCCGGAGAAGCCGCCCAAGGAGCACAAGCCGACUCCGCCCACCUACACCCCGAGCCCCAAGCCCACGCCGCCGCCGGCUACUCCCAAGCCGACGCCGCCCACCUACACGCCGAGCCCUAAGCCCAAGUCGCCGGUCUACCCUCCCCCGCCGAAAGCCAGUACUCCUCCGACCUACACCCCGAGCCCCAAGCCUCCGGCGACCAAGCCGCCUACCUACCCGACCCCCAAGCCACCAGCUACCAAGCCUCCGACACCUCCUGUGUACACUCCGAGCCCCAAACCACCGGUUACAAAGCCUCCUACACCCAAGCCGACCCCGCCGGUGUACACGCCGAACCCCAAGCCACCGGUUACCAAGCCUCCGACACACACGCCGAGCCCCAAGCCUCCGACAUCCAAGCCGACUCCGCCGGUGUACACACCGAGCCCCAAGCCACCGAAGCCGUCCCCGCCGACGUACACGCCGACCCCGAAGCCACCGGCUACCAAGCCGCCCACCUCAACUCCGACGCACCCUAAGCCGACGCCGCACACGCCUAUCCCCAAGCCCACGCCGCCAACCUACAAGCCGGCACCGAAGCCGACGCCGCCGGCGCCCACCCCGCCGACAUACACGCCGCCGGUGUCGCACACCCCCAGCUCGCCGCCGCCGCCGCCGCCGCCGCCUUACUACUAGAC
rnacentral:lncRNA from 1 species